rnacentral:rRNA from 1 species
UUAAGCAUAUCAAUAAGCGGAGGAAAAGAAACUAACAAGGAUUCCCCUAGUAACUGCGAGUGAAGCGGGAAAAGCUCAAAUUUGAAAUCUGGCAGUUCUUGACUGUCCGAGUUGUAAUCUAGAGAAGUGUUACCUGUGCUGGACCGUGUACAAGUCUUCUGGAAUGGAGCAUCAUAGAGGGUGAGAAUCCCGUCUUUGACACGGACUACCUGUACAUUAUGGUGCGCUCUCAAAGAGUCGAGUUGUUUGGGAAUGCAGCUCAAAAUGGGUGGUAAAUGCCAUCUAAAGCUAAAUAUUGGCGAGAGACCGAUAGCGAACAAGUACCGUGAGGGAAAGAUGAAAAGAACUUUGGAAAGAGAGUUAAACAGUACGUGAAAUUGCUGAAAGGGAAACGCUUGAAGUCAGUCGCGUUGGCUAGAAAUCAACAUUGCUCUUGCUUUGUGUAUUUUCUGGUUGACGGGUCAGCAUCAAUUUUGACCAUUGGAUAAAGGCUUUGGGAAUGUGGCAUCUCAGGAUGUGUUAUAGCCCAUUGUUGCAUACGGUGGUUGGGAUUGAGGAACUCAGCACGCCGCAAGGCCGGGUUUCGACCACGUUCGUGCUUAGGAUGCUGGCAUAAUGGCUUUAAUCGACCCGUCUU